rnacentral:rRNA from 1 species
CCUACGGGGGGCUGCAGUGGGGAAUAUUGGACAAUGGGCGAAAGCCUGAUCCAGCCAUGCCGCGUGUGUGAAGAAGGCCUUCGGGUUGUAAAGCACUUUCAGUGGGGAAGAAAGCCUUGGGGCUAAUACCCUCGAGGAAGGACAUCACCCACAGAAGAAGCACCGGCUAACUCCGUGCCAGCAGCCGCGGUAAUACGGAGGGUGCGAGCGUUAAUCGGAAUUACUGGGCGUAAAGCGCGCGUAGGCGGUCUGAUAAGCCGGUUGUGAAAGCCCCGGGCUCAACCUGGGAACGGCAUCCGGAACUGUCAGGCUAGAGUGCAGGAGAGGAAGGUAGAAUUCCCGGUGUAGCGGUGAAAUGCGUAGAGAUCGGGAGGAAUACCAGUGGCGAAGGCGGCCUUCUGGACUGACACUGACGCUGAGGUGCGAAAGCGUGGGUAGCAAACAGGAUUAGAUACCCUUGUAGUC